CUAUGUUGCCCUAGGCUGGUCUUGAGCAUCCGGGCUCAAGCCAUCACAGGCGUGAGCCACUGCACCCAGCCCUCUUGUACAAGUUUUUACGUGGAUACAGAUUUCAAUUCAUUUAGGUAAAUACUUAGGAGCACAAUAGCUGAAUCAUAUGGUAAGAGUAUGAUUAGCUUUGUAAGAAACCACCAAAGUGUCUUCCAAGUGGAUAUACCAUUUCUCUACAUCGUUACCAGCAUUUGAUGUUGUCAGUGUUUUGGAUUUCAGCCACUCUAACAGGGGAACAUCUUAGGCCAGUGUGUCAACUUCUGACUUGGCUCAUCUGAACCCAAGACCUUGGACACAUU